CCUAUGGGGGGCAGCAGGCGCGAAAACUUUACAAUGCGGGCAACCGUGAUAAGGAAACCCCGAGUGCCAGCACAGGCUGGCUGUCCGCCAGUGUAAACAACUGGUGAAGAAAGGGCCGGGCAAGACCGGUGCCAGCCGCCGCGGUAAUACCGGCGGCUCGAGUGGUGGCCGCUUUUACUGGGCUUAAAGGGUCCGUAGCUUGAUUCACGGGUCCCUUGAGAAAUCCAUCGGCUUAACUGAUGGGCGUUCAGGGGAAACUGUGAUUCUAGGGACCGGGAGAGGUGAGAGGUACUGCCGGGGUAGGAGUGAAAUCCUGUAAUCCCGGUGGGACGACCUAUGGCGAAGGCAUCUCACCAGAACGGCUCCGACAGUGAGGGACGAAAGCUGGGGGAGCAAACCGGAUUAGAUACCCGCGUAGUCC
rnacentral:rRNA from 1 species